rnacentral:rRNA from 1 species
AGUGAACGCUGGCGGUAGGCCUAACACAUGCAAGUCGAACGGCAGCACAGUAAGAGCUUGCUCUUACGGGUGGCGAGUGGCGGACGGGUGAGGAAUACAUCGGAAUCUACUUUUUCGUGGGGGAUAACGCAGGGAAACUUACGCUAAUACCGCAUACGACCUACGGGUGAAAGCAGGGGAUCUUCGGACCUUGCGCGAGUGAAUGAGCCGAUGUCGGAUUAGCUAGUUGGCGGGGUAAAGGCCCACCAAGGCGACGCUCCGUAGCUGGUCUGAGAGGAUGAUCAGCCACACUGGAAGAGAGACACGGUCCAGACUCCUACGGGAGGCAGCAGUGGGGAAUAUUGGACGAUGGGCGCAAGCCUGAUCCAGCCAUACCGCGUGAGUGAAGAAGGCCUUCGGGUUGUAAAGCCCUUUUGUUGGGAAAGAAGAGCAGCAGGUUAAUACCCCGCUGUUCUGACGGUACCCAAAGAAUAAGCACCGGCUAACUUCGUG